AUUAACACCAUUCUACAGGUCCCGCCUUGAUAGACAGGUGACAACGGGAGGGUUUUUUUUUUUUUUUUUACUGCGCAGACGGCACACACAGCCAAAGCGAGGAGAGAAAAGGAGACAGAAAAAAAUAGAAAAAGCCCCAAUUAUAAUUAUAUAUUAUAAUUAACUGUUUGAAAGAGUGAGACCAAAAGUGGAAACAAUACUACUGCCAGUUGGAGUGCUGAGGAACUUCAGUUUGUAGUUUUAUCCAACGUGAAACCUGGUCAGGUUUUUUGAUUCCAUGGGAGGAAGUUUACAACAAUUUUUCAACAGUCUGAUGGCGAGCCACCCAACCAGAACCACUGUGUCUUGAAGGACGGUAUUUUUAUUUUAAAUUGUUUUGGUUUUUCUGCAAAGGACUACAAAUGAAAAUACUCUAGAGGAGUACCUUCAUCCAUAGUAAAAGAAAUUGCAGAGACAUUGAAAGACA